rnacentral:lncRNA from 1 species
GGUGCCCUUCAACUAGCAUAUCACUAAUCCAAUUCAAUGACUUAGUGAAGUCAGUGGAGGAUUGUGGUUAAUUGGUUGAUCUCUUUUCUUUUCUUAAUUCAUCAAUUAAAUUCUUUAAAUUAUUAGGUCCCUAAAAUGAGAUAGUUAUGGAGAUAUCUAAAUCAUAGCCUCCUAUUAAGUUAGAUGAUAAUGAGUCCAUUAGUAUGAUGAUCAUUGGAGGCCCAAAAGUCUGGUGCUCAUCAGCUAUUGAAAUUAUCAUUCAUAAUAUGAUGAUUGAGUUGAGUCUCUCUAGCAAGUGGUCUGGUUAGCUGGCCAAAGUCAGACCUGA